UACGUAGGGGGCAAGCGUUGUCCGGAUUUAUUGGGCGUAAAGCGCGUGUAGGCGGCCAGAUAGGUCUGCUGUGAAAACUCGAGGCUCAACCUCGAGCUGUCGGUGGAAACUGUCUGGCUAGAGUCCGGAAGAGGAGAAUGGAAUUCCUGGUGUAGCGGUGAAAUGCGCAGAUAUCAGGAAGAACACCCGUGGCGAAGGCGGUUCUCUGGGACGGUACUGACGCUGAGACGCGAAAGCGUGGGGAGCGAACAGG
rnacentral:rRNA from 1 species